UGCAGAAUUUAUUAGCACAACUCCCUGAAUUUGAUCAGAAGGUAAUUCUGAUGCUGCAAUAAGAGCAGUAAAUCCUCCAAGGCUGCAAUAUUGGAGAAACAUCAUUACAGUUUGUUUUUUGAAAGUCUAUUUAUUGCUCUUAUGAAAAAAAUUAUUUAUUUAAAUGUUUCAAGUCCAGCAAUUGCCUGUUUCCAACUAGAACUGCUGGUUCCUUUACAAUUUCUUUCAGGAAAUCGGUAACUUGAUCUCUCCAUAUCAUGGCAUCAUACUCGACAAGUGCCUUGUCACUCCAUCCAAAUCCCAACAAGUCCAAGGCAUAAACUUUAUGGGAUUUUGCAAGCUCUGGUAUGUUGUAUCUGCUCAUACAUUAAUAUCUUAUUUUUUAUUUUUUAUAAAACAAAAAUUACAUAUAGCUAUUAGCUACCAAGUAACAACCAAGAGGUCAUGAUUUUAUAUUUUUACCUCCAGUGAUAAGCUGAAGCCCCAAAACCAUGUAUAAGAAUAACAGGAGGUCCACCAGUUCCUUGUUCUACAUAAUGAAUUUUGUUUCCUUUCCAGUUCCAGAAACUGUAUCCUUCUUUUUUGAAUGGUAGUCUCUCCAACCCUGUAUUUUAUUAAGAAAAGGGGGGGAAAAUCAUAUUCACUUAUUCAGACUCUGAUACCUUUUGCAUUAAGUGGCUUUGGCAUGUAAAGUUGUAAAUUGUACGACUGUAGUUUGUAAAAGUAUAAAAUUGACUAAUAAAUAACAAUAAGAUAAACCUUGUGCGGGUUUGUCUUCUGUAAGUAAAGAAGAGCAUAACACGGUAGAGAUUCCUUUGACGGCUAAAUCCCUUCUUCUGAGCAUACCGUUACAUGAAAUCCCUUUCAAACAAGCAAAAACCAAAAAACCAGCCAGAUUCACUUUCAAUUCUUAUUUUGAGUAGAGGAAUAUUAGAGUAAGUAGUUGGGAAUGGUGAUAACUUACUUUGAAUUUCCUGUUUUUGUGGAGAAGAAAGGAAGGAACGAGUUGGAGAGAAAAUAUCUCUCCGGGACGGGACUGUAAAGGAGUUUGAAAUCGGAGAAGAAAUCAUAUCUGGAAAAUGGCGCAGCAAAUUUGAAGAAUGUCUCUGCCUCUCUGAUUUGAUUUUUGUAGUUUUUUAUUUAAUAUAAUUAUUUUCAAGGUUAUUUGUGCAAAUACAUCUUUUGUGUGGUGAAGUUUAGAUGCACUCGUGGCUUCAUAACAUUCAUUAGUCAUUAUAAAAUGAGUAAAUGACUUUUGACACACUAGAUGUUAUUAUUAACUUAUCAUUGUUGAAGACACCUUGCUAUUUAUUAGAAAGUAGAAACAUUAGAGCAGACCAUCUUUUAAGACCCUCUUAAAGAGGAAAGAGGAACAAACAUGGAAUAGAGACUGCAGUGAUGAGUGCUAAUGAUGGAAUUAUUGUUCCUUUAUUGAAAGCACUUUGCAAAUCUCUUGUCCUUGAAAAGUGUUGGUAUGCCAUGUACCCAGCCAUCACCAACGAAACUAUUUCUCCAACCGGAGUUCCUCUGUUAAAAAAAACCACCAUAAGAAUCUAACAUUAAUUACUCUAUGUAGUAGCGUGAAUGAUAAACUUGCCUCAUGUUUACCAUUUGAACAGGAGCUAAAAUGACGAGAAGCAUUGUAAGUAAUGGUUUUUCCAAUUCGCCUGCAGGCC
rnacentral:lncRNA from 1 species